rnacentral:tRNA from 1 species
GCUUUCGUAGUGUAACGGUAGCACACUCGGCGCGUAUUCGAGAGAUCCAGGUUCGAGUCCCGCCGAGGGCA